rnacentral:rRNA from 1 species
GAGUUUGAUCCUGGCUCAGGAUAAACGCUGGCGGCGCACAUAAGACAUGCAAGUCGAACGGAAGUCGUUAUAAAACAGAUUGAAGAUUUAUCUGAUUGAAGUUUUAUAACAAUGGCUUUAGUGGCGGACUGGUGAGUAACGCGUAAGCAAUCUACCUAUUAGAGGGGAAUAACAAUGAGAAAUCAUUGCUAAUACCGCAUAUGCCAUAGGAACCACAUGGUUCUAGUGGGAAAGGAGCAAUCCGCUAAUAGAUGAGCUUGCGUCUGAUUAGUUAGUUGGUGGGGUAACGGCCUACCAAGACGACGAUCAGUAGCCGGACUGAGAGGUUGAACGGCCACAUUGGGACUGAGAUACGGCCCAGACUCCUACGGGAGGCAGCAGUCGGGAAUAUUGCGCAAUGGAGGAAACUCUGACGCAGUGACGCCGCGUAUAGGAAGAGGUUUUCGGAUUGUAAACUAUUGUCGUUAGGGAAGAAAAGGACAGUACCUAAGGAGGAAGCUCCGGCUAACUACGUGCCAGCC